AUUGAACGAUGGCGGCAUGCCUUACACAUGCAAGUCGAACGGUAGCAGGUCUUCGGAUGCUGACGAGUGGCGAACGGGUGAGUAAUACAUCGGAACGUGCCCGAUCGUGGGGGAUAACGGAGCGAAAGCUUUGCUAAUACCGCAUACGAUCUACGGAUGAAAGCAGGGGACCGCAAGGCCUUGCGCGGACGGAGCGGCCGAUGGCAGAUUAGGUAGUGGGUGGGAUAAAAGCUUACCAAGCCGACGAUCUGUAGCUGGUCUGAGAGGACGACCAGCCACACUGGGACUGAGACACGGCCCAGACUCCUACGGGAGGCAGCAGUGGGGAAUUUUGGACAAUGGGCGAAAGCCUGAUCCAGCCAUGCCGCGUGCAGGAUGAAGGCCUUCGGGUUGUAAACUGCUUUUGUACGGAACGAAAAGACUCUUUCUAAUAAAGAGGGUCCAUGACGGUACCGUAAGAAUAAGCACCGGCUAACUACGUGCCAGCAGCAGCCGCCG
rnacentral:rRNA from 1 species